rnacentral:rRNA from 1 species
GACGAACGCUGGCGGCGUGCUUAACACAUGCAAGUCGAACGGACAGGCCCUGCUUUUGUGGCGUGCUCGAGUGGCGAAGGGGUGAGUAACACGUGAGUAACCUGCACUUGACUUUGGGAUAACUUCAGGAAACUGCGGCUAAUACCGGAUAGGAGCUCCUGAUGCAUGUUGGGGGAUGGAAAGAUUCGGCGGUUGGGGAUGGUCUCGCGGCUUAUCAGCUUGUUGGUGGGGUAGUGGCUUACCAAGGCUUUGAAGGGUAGCCGGCCUGAGAGGUUGACCGGGCACAUUGGUACUGCGAUACGGCCCAGAAUCCUACGGGAGGCAGCGGGGGGGAAUAUUGCAGAGUGGGCGGAAGCCUGAUGCAGCAACGCCGCGUGCGGGAUGACGGGCUUCGGGUUGUAAACCGCUGUCGCCGGUGACGAAGCGUGAGUGACGGUAAUGGGUAAAGAAGCACCGGCUAACUACGUG